GAUGAACACCCAUUCUGAUUAUAGACAUACAAUGCUAAUAAUAUUAUUAAAAUAAUAAAAAAAAAAGAACAAUAAUACAAAAAACACUUAAAAUGAAAAACAAAACAAUAAAAACAAAACAAACCAUUCCCCUAAAAACAAACUCCCACCCCACCCCCCAAAACACCAAACAAACAUGCAACACGUAAAAAAUGUAAAAACGCAUCUGAUUUAUCUUUUAGUUAACAGUUUGCAAGAACAUUUUGCAACAUCACAAAACAUUGGUUGAUAAAUG
rnacentral:lncRNA from 1 species